CCUAAUAAAACUAAGAACAAGAUAAAAACCCCAACUAAACGAAAUCUUAUUCGAUACUCUCGAGUUCAGAAUUUUAUGCAAUACAGAUGCGUAUGCAAAUGAUGGCAAUCAUUUUCCUUGAUUGCAAAUCUUUUCAUGAAUCGAAAAGGGUCGAUUCGCCUUGGAAGACCUCGGACUCCUAUGCCAAGUUAUUGUGUUCUUACGAUGGUUUGGUUCUAUUGUGUUUUACUGUAAUUACAAAGCCCUCUAUGUAGCCCAUGUGAUAUUUUCAUGCCCUUUUAAUUCUAUAAAUUCUGUUUCUAGUGAGCUUUAUGGGCUUUUUGAUUCAUCCGCGAAUGGUUGGUUAUAAAGUGAUUAUGUUGUCGCAAAGUUUUGGAAUUUAUGUAUGUGUCUUCGAAAGAGACGAGGGAGUCUUGUUUUUCAAUUUGGUGCCGUGAGAAUGGGGUUCUUGUGAAAAUUUUAUUUUGACUUGGUGGAGGAAAAGUUUAAGGAGGUGCCGAAAAGGAAUUUUGGGGGUAAAAAUGAUGAGUUUAGUUUGGUUGAUUUGAGAGGAUGGCUUUGUGGGUAUGGAACACAGGUAGGUUGAUGUAUGGGCAAUGAAAGAAUAUGGGAAGAAGGAAUCAUGUACUAAAUUGAUUUUUUUAUGCUAUUUGAAGCCUUUGUGUUUGAGAAACACAGGUGAAGUUUUGGUGGAAAAGGGCAACAGGGAACUAGCAGUUUAUGAUCCAAAAGAAUGUACAUUUAAGACUCCAAUGUGCUUUUUGGAUGUUCAAAGUUUGAGAGCAGCUACGUAUGUGGAGAGUUUACUUUUACUAAAUGCGAUGGCACUACUAAGGUAGUGAAUUCAAACAGAGAAUACAGAGUAUACAGGAACAGGUAGAAGAGGAAAUCAUAAACUUUGUUUCUUAUUCUAUUUUUCCCAUUUCUAGUUGGUGUUUAUUUGUAUAUGUGGAUUUGUUAGAAAUUAUUUUCACCAUAUAUAGGGAGGUAAUGAUAAUUGCAUGUCCAAAUAGAAACAGGAUUGGCACAUUUUUGUCUCUAACUAAUUGCAUAAUUGCAUUUUGACGAAGUCCUCAUUUUUUCUUUUUGUGGAUGAACCUUGCAGUAUCAACUAACCUUUCUUUUUAUCAUUGUGAUUCUAUAGGCUUUUGUCUAUCUUAAAAUGGAGUUAUUAUUUAGCUUAUGAAAUAUGAGCAUCUCAUACAUUACAGCCUGUAGCCACGAGAGAUCUUGGGUCUAAAAUCUUCAAGAAUUAAGUUAUAGAAUGAUUGCUAGGCUGAAAAGUAGCCAAGCUAAUUGGGGGAGAGUUCUAUGGUUGUAUGGGACCAUUGUGGGGAUUCUUUGUGGGGCACUUAUAUUUUGCAGGUCUUUGUUUAUUUCAGUUUUCCAUAUAAUCAUGUCUGUGAUCUUUAACUGAAAAAAAAUGUCUGUGAUCGGGUAUCCACGGAUGUGCAUAUUUAUACUUGAUAUAAAAUUGCAAUUAUAAAUAAUAUUUUCAAUUUGUGUUCAAUGAGCAAUAUUAAUCUUCUUAUGGUCUUAAGGUUACUCCUUUUCCUUAUAUUAUAUGUAAAAUUUUAAUGAUUAUUUUUAAAUUAAAAUAUUUUGAACUAAAAAUAUUGGAUUUUGCCAAGAAGUAGUUGAAUUAUUGCACCUACUCGAUAUAGAAGUCCCUACUAAUUUCUACUGUUUUUUUUUUUUUUUUUUAAGCUUUUAGUACUAUUAGCAAAUAGGGACCUUGAAUCAUUUUUGAGUGGGAUUUUUUUUUUUUACAAUGUGGUUAUGCAUUGUGGAUACUCUCUAGUUUGUGAUAUUUUCUCUUACGACCUCUUUUCUUGUUGACUAAUUAAUCUUGGUGAUUUUGUGGCACUAUCAUUCUAAUUAAUUUGGUGUUACUGUGUGAUUACCUGCUUGCUGUUACUUUAUUGAUUACUGGCUUUAUGAAACAUAACUUAGAGUUGAAUUUCUAGGGUUAUAGGCAAGAACAUUUCUUAGAGCAUCUCCAACCCAAUGCUUUUUGGGCUGUUAUUUGUAAAAUAUAGCAGAUGGGCUUCAAUUGGGCUCUCCAAUGGGCUGUCAUUUCUCCUGCCAAAUUUUAACUUUGCCAAUUCUAGUGCCAAUUGUAGCACAAGAAAUGGCUAUUGUUAUUUCGCUCCUAUGUCUCUAGGGCAACAGAGAGAGAGAGAAGAGAAGGGCGGCAACAGACGAGGAGGACGAGAGAGAGAGAGAGGGCUGCUCUUUUUCUUCUGUAAAAAUUAUAUAUAUAUAUAUAUAUAUAUAUAUAUAUAUAUAUAUAUAUAUAUAUAAUAGAGAAUUUUAGAUAGAGAAACUGAAGAAUGUCGGGAGGUAUUGCGCAUGGCCAUCUUGCCGAGGAGCGAAAAGCAUGGCGGAAGAAUCACCCUCAUGGUUUUGUUGCAAAGCCAGAGACUCUUCACGAUGGUUCAGUGAAUCUGAUGGUGUGGCAGUGCAUAAUCCCUGGUAAGGCCAGGAUUGAAGAAAUAGAAUGGUUGGCUAGUACUUCUCUUGAUUUUGCUUGGAUAAUGGUUAUAUGGAUUUUCGGUUUGUACAUUGGUGGAAAAGAAUUAAUGGACUACUGAAGUAGAAAGUUAUCUGGAUAUUUGAUGAGCUUGGAAUUAUAGAGGUAAAAAGUUAUCUGAACAUUUUAUGAACUUGGAAUUGGAUUGUUCAAAAGGCUUUUACAGGUGUAGUAUGGGCAUUUGCAUAUGCUGAACCAAGGUGUGAGUAUGAGACAUUAGCCCCAGGAUUGACUUGGAGUGAUCCUAACUCAAACUAGGUCAAAUAUGGUUGGUUCUUAAUUGAGUCUGUUACCCCAGCUCUAAUUAUCCAAUUUUUGGGUAUUUUUAUGAAGCAAGCCAAAAUACAAUAGAUAAUGCCACCAUCUAGGCAAAAGUUGACCAAUUCCCACUAUGCACCUGAUCCUCACUUCCUGGCCCAACAUAUGAUAGGAUGGGAGAAAUUGUAAUUUUUCUUAUAUUCAAUGAUUCCGGAGAAAUAUUUAUUUCCCAAGUCCAUUUGAGAGGAAAAAAAGAAAAAAAGAAGAGAGGAAGUAAUUGAUGAUUGUGAUGGAUUAGGUGGGAUGUUGGUGACGUUAGUUAGACAGUGGGAAUGGUAUGAAUAGAGUUCGCUGGAGACCACAGUGGAUUUCAUGGUUGAAAUUUUGGAUUCAACCAAUAGAGGGAGGGAGGGAGGGAGUAUAUUGAACCUGCAAAUAUUGACAUUUCAUAGAUAGUUUCAGGCACUCUAUUUCUUCAAUCACAGUCUAUUUUUCUCCAAUACACGACAUAGUUGUUAAAGGCGCACCUAGAUUCCAAAAAAGGCACAGGCUUGUCAAGUCUCAGCUAGAGUGCCUUAACCUAGUACAGGCCAGGCUGCAAAAUCACUUCGUGUUUGUCAUCUGGGUUCGGGAGAUAUUUUUGGAAAUCUAUAAAAGGGUUGAAGAGAGAGAAAAAAUAAAAAUAAAUAAAUAAAUUUGUAAUUAUCAUUUUCUAAAAUGAUUAAUUUAUUACUUAUAAUAAAACUUAUUACACUGAGUUUAAACUUUUGUAAUCAAAUAUAAUAGUUAAUGAGAUUACAGGAAAAGGUCAAAUAUGAUCUCUUAAUUAAUAAUUGUUUGUUGCGAUCAUAUGAAGGUUGUUCCGCCCAUCCCUGCCACAUGGAACAAUUUCUUUUCCACCCUUUUUUGGGUUGUUGGGGUUCUGUUUGUGGGGAGCAGGGACUGUUAAUUGAUCACCUGGCUGUGUGAUCCUUAAUAGACAUGAUUUCCUUUAACAUUUGGAUAUUUUGUUCUUUCUAAGAUAAGCUUAGUGAAGGUACCUUCUGUUAAUGCCUUUUCAGUACAUGUUUCAUUGACCUAAGUUGACAAUGCUGAUAUCCUUUUCUUUUGCACAUUCUUUUGAAUACCACUUUUGAAUGUUACAGCGCAGGAUGUUGCGCUGUUGACUGAUGGAGGAUUCUCAGAAGCUUCACACAGAUAUAUUGUUGGCCACAUAUGACCUGAAACACAGGAAGGCGGUCCUAUUGGUCUCAUCGAAAAUGCAGACAUCAUCACAAUAGAUAUGCAUGAGAGGAGAAUGGAUGUUCAUGUAACAGAUGAGGAGAUGGAGGAGUGAAGGAGGAAGUGGAGCCCCCCUGCACGCAAGGCUGACUGGGAGUUUUGUACAAGUACAUCAAGAAUUUGCAGUCAGCUUCAAAGGGAUGAGUGACUGAUGAAUAGUAGAGAGUUCGAAUUGGUAGGGAGGCAAAAUUCGGCGCCUUGUUGUGACUCUUUAGGGUGACAGUGAGUUCUUUUUUUUUUUUUUUUU